CGGGAAUCUGCGGGCGCCGAGGGAGCCCCGGGACCCCCCCCGGCAGCGCGGGAUGGGCGACAGCGACCGCGGACAACAGGGGAAGGAUGGUCGGGAUGGAGAGAGACAAGAGAUCUCUGCAGCCAGGUCAUGGAAGUUGCGGUUUAUUGCAAAGGGCCUGGGUGCAGGGCCCUGCUUGGAGCUGCCAGGCACAGCUGGAGGAGGCCCGAGAGAGGGAGAAGAGUGGUGUUAUAUUUGCCCAAUUAUCCCGUCAUCAAAAAGACCAAACACUAUUAAAGGUAGCAGCAAUUUUCAUUGAAUAGCUUAGAAUAUAUAAAAUCGGAUACACUUGAAAUAUUGACAAUGUAAUUUGGUUAAAAUAAGGGAUAAUCUGGUUCCAAUAAUAGCGCAUAAGCAAAAAAACCCAUAGAGUGAGGGGUACGGAGUGCAGGGCCCUUGGACCCCUGCCACCUCACAUGCAAGCCUGCCAAGCAAAAAUUCCCCCUUUUGUGCCAUAUGUCAAUGCCAUCUCCUCCCAUUUUCGAAUCAUCACACUUCUACCUCCGCCCUCAUCACCACCUUUACUGCGCAUGCUCCACCGCUGGUUUGGUGGUCACACCCGUCUUUGGGGGUCCUCACUGAUGAAGGCCUCUCCUCUUCCUCGGUGUCCUUUCAUUCACCUUUGGGUUGCACAUGUGCACCAAGCCAGUAUAAUGUAAGCCAAAACGAACAUAAUAUUAUAUUUAAGCACCAAAGGAAUAAAUCUCUUAUACCUAGCAUUUUCCUGAGACCCAACCAGAUUUUCCUUUCUCUCUGUUAAUUUUUAGUAACUGUUAUCUCUUGCUUUUCCUUCUAUCCUUGAACAUCUGCAGGAAUGGGGCGGCAGGGAUGGAACCCCUCCUCUCCCUUUCUUUCUAGGCAUUACACCUUUUAACUGUUUUAUUAUUGCCAAAUAUUAAUUACUGUAUCAAUAUCAAUUACUGUAUCAAUUUUGUCAGCACGGAUCAUACAUAUUUACCACACUUAUCAUGA